AGAGUUUGAUCCUGGCUCAGGAUGAACGCUAGCGGCAGGCCUAACACAUGCAAGUCGAGGGGCAGCGCGGUGUAGCAAUACACUGGUGGCGACCGGCGCACGGGUGCGUAACGCGUAUGCAACCUACCCAUAACAGGGGGAUAACACUGAGAAAUUGGUACUAAUACCCCAUAACAUCAGGACCGGCAUCGGUUCUGGUUGAAAACUCCGGUGGUUAUGGAUGGGCAUGCGUUGUAUUAGCUGGUUGGUGAGGUAACGGCUCACCAAGGCAACGAUACAUAGGGGGACUGAGAGGUUAACCCCCCACAUUGGUACUGAGACACGGACCAAACUCCUACGGGAGGCAGCAGUGAGGAAUAUUGGUCAAUGGACGCAAGUCUGAACCAGCCAUGCCGCGUGCAGGAUGACGGCUCUAUGAGUUGUAAACUGCUUUUGUACGAGGGUAAACGCAGAUACGUGUAUCUGUCUGAAAGUAUCGUACGAAUAAGGAUCGGCUAACUCCGUGCCAGCAGCCGCGGUAAUACGGAGGAUUCAAGCGUUAUCCGGAUUUAUUGGGUUUAAAGGGUGCGUAGGCGGUUUGAUAAGUUAGAGGUGAAAUUUCGGGGCUCAACCCUGAACGUGCCUCUAAUACUGUUGAGCUAGAGAGUAGUUGCGGUAGGCGGAAUGUAUGGUGUAGCGGUGAAAUGCUUAGAGAUCAUACAGAACACCGAUUGCGAAGGCAGCUUACCAAACUAUAUCUGACGUUGAGGCACGAAAGCGUGGGGAGCAAACAGGAUUAGAUACCCUGGUAGUCCACGCAGUAAACGAUGAUAACUCGUUGUCGGCGAUACACAGUCGGUGACUAAGCGAAAGCGAUAAGUUAUCCACCUGGGGAGUACGUUCGCAAGAAUGAAACUCAAAGGAAUUGACGGGGGCCCGCACAAGCGGAGGAACAUGUG
rnacentral:rRNA from 1 species